rnacentral:rRNA from 1 species
AAUGAACGUUGGCGGCGUGGAUUAGGCAUGCAAGUCGCGCGGGUGUAGCAAUACACCAGCGGCGUAAGGGACAGGAAUACGUAGACAACCUACCCUCGGGACCUGAAUAGCUGCGGGAAACUGCAGGUAAUGCGGGAUAACGUCUCCGGACCAAAGGUGUGAGUCCGCCGGAGGAUGGGUCUGCGUCCUAUUAGCUAGUUGGUGAGGUAAUGGCUCACCAAGGCAAUGAUGGGUAGCAGGUGUGAGAGCACGACCUGCGUCACUGGGACUGAGACACUGCCCAGACACCUACGGGUGGCUGCAGUCGAGGAUUUUCGUCAAUGGGCGCAAGCCUGAACGAGCGACGCCGCGUGCGGGAUGAAGGCCUUCGGGUUGUAAACCGCUGUCAGUGGGGAGGAAAUGUACGUGGGUACUCCCAUCUGUUUGACAUAGCCUCAGAGGAAGGACGGGCUAAGUUCGUGCCAGCAGCCGCCGUAAAAC